rnacentral:lncRNA from 1 species
CCACCCCAAAAUCCUUGCCCACCCCUGCCGCAGCGACAUCCCCACCACACACGGGGGGGAGCAGGGAGCGCGGCCGUGCCCCGCGGGCUCCCGGCACCUCCACCCUCGGCAAGCAGCUCCCCGGCCCCGUAUUCACCUCGGGGGGUUCCCCACCCAGCUUGGUGCUGAGCAGGGCCAGCGCCACGCAGCGCACCCCUGCCCCGAGCACCUCCCCAGCACCCCAAUCCUGGCCUGCACCACGGGGACAUCCGGCAGGCGGGACCGCGGUCCCUUUGGGUUAAAAAAGCACGACUUCGGGCACGCAGCCCCGCAGACCCCGUCGUUUUUCCCCAUUUUUGUUGGAAACCUCACCAAAACAAUACCUCGACCGCAAACCGCCGCCGCCCGGCUUUUACGCCCGGCAGCUGCCGUCCCCCGGGGCCCUUUCCAAAAAUCCCAAGUUGUUCCCUAAACCCCGAUGCGAUUUUUGCCGGGUUUUGUGGCCGCUCCUCCCCACCUCCACCAACGCCUUGGGUUCAUGCGGGGCCCCGGGGCCCCACGGAGGUUUCCGCGCCGGAGCCAUUUUCGUUCCCCGCCUCCAAAUUUCUCUUUUUUUUUUUCCACGAAUUCCUCAGCCUCCCCCCCCCCGCCCCCAGCCUCGUCAGACCCAGACACAUCUGCGCACAUCUGCGCUUGCGGUGCAAGCCACGCGGGGUCGGGGGCAGCAGCGCGGGCAGGCAGAAGAGCAGGGAGCAGCUCGUUAGUUGCACAAGAGGAGCCGCCAGGGCCUCCCCUCCCCGAAACGCGCUCGCCGUGCCUCUCGCCAGACAGGUUCCCAGCGCGGCUCAGCCAAUUCCUCCCUGCCUCUGCGACGCUUUUCGUGCCAGGAGUUUUUUCCAGAUGAGUUUUUCCUCGAGAUGGUCACCCCCUCCCAAACUUUGUCCCACCUGGAGGCCCCAAUUCCCACGCGAUCCCAAGUUGUCCCGUGGGUUGCUUCUGUUUUUUGUGGCAUUCCCUCCAAAUCCCACGGGUUUCAUUACUCGCUGGGGGAAUCUGGGGAAAAUUAGUGCCGUUUUCCUGGAGCCCAGAAAGGCAAAAUAA